CACGGCCAUGGCAAAAGUGCCGGGAGGCGCUUCUUCUCUCGCCAACGAAAGUAGGAUUACGCUUGAUUUUCACUCUCUGUGUUUUCGAUUACAUUUAACAAUCCAUUAACAUUAGGGGUUGCUCGACGACAUUUCUCGUAUCCGGUCAAACGAAAAAAAUGUGUGACCAGCAAGAAAAUACGUAGAGAUUUUCCUUAUUCAUGGACAUGCAUGAAUGCCAUGAGUCUGAAGCUAACGAGGAAGAGACGCGGCUGGAAUAAGCACGAGGAGCGGUCCUUUGUGCGUGCAAAAUUGAACAACAAGACGAGGAACGUUAGUCUUACUGCAAAAUGAAUGUUUCAUUUAUCUACCGAGGGGAUGCAUUAAUCUUUUGAACGAUUGUAUUAUAAAAAAGGAUUAAUUAUAUUAAUUAACACAUAUUAAUUUAAAAUCUUUGGAUAUUCUGUACACAAAAUGUUAAUAUAUUCAUGAACUUUUGAAGAGAUCUUUGAAUUAACUUUCAAUUCAUUAAAUCUUAAUAGACCAUUCACUUUAAUCAUUUUGGCAAUAUUUAAAAGUUUUACGAGAUAAUCUUUCUUUUUUUUAUAAAUUUUAUUUUAAUUUUAAAAAAUAAGAUUCCAGCGUAUUAAAAAGUACUAUUUACUUCUGUUUCUUGUUAAGCCUUGUUGCUGUAUGCCUUUCUUGAUAACUUGACUUGAUUUAUGGCGAUAUAUAAAAAAAUGAACAAGCUGCAAUAUCCUUGUUGGAAAAAAUAAUAUAAAAGUACAAGAUACAUGAAAAUUCAAUUAAAAAUCAAAUAAGAAAUCAAUAAAAACCACAUUACUGUUGAAUAAAUUCAGAAUACAUUAGGAAUUUUUGAAAAUCUUUGAUGUCUUU